UUAUAGUAUGAUGGUAGUUGUCUGAAGUCAUAAAAAGCUUAUCGGUAUGCUUAUUCAUUAGAGCGGUUCGAUUCCUGAAACUAUCUCUAGUCUGAUUAAGUGUGGUAACAGUUUUAAGAUGAGUCAAAGAUUCUGGUUGAACAGUUCUCCUUCGACACUAACUGGAAGAAAUAAUUGUUUUAUCAUUUGUCUAAAUAGACUAGCUAGAAUGUGACCAGAGGAAGAUUAAAUGGACAUAUCAUAUAUUUCUCCAUGGACACUGUAAUCCAUGACGGAUUUUUGACACUAUAUUUGAAUAUUUGUUGUUGAAGUUAAUUGGAUUUUGUGCAAAACCCCUGGAAGAAUAUUCUGUAUCAGACUAACAGUAUAAACGCCACCCAGUAUUUCUGUUUACCUGCUGUUAAACAUCGUAGUAUCAUCUCCAAUCUCUUUAUAUUUUGUUUAAUUUUAUUUAAAAAAGUCUCAUUAUAAUUUAUUAUUAAUCAACUGUAAUUCAGUUGUUUAUUUAUUGAAUAACUUAUUAUCCUGUCUUCAACGUCCAUAUAAACUGUACUGUAUUUAUGACCACUACACUGAUAUCUCAUUUGGCUAAAUAUUUUUAAUUUUCAACUACAUUAAAACAAAAUUAAGAUUGUUUAAAUUUUUUUUUUUUUUUGAAUACUUGUAUUAUUGUUUGAAUAUUUUUACACUUUAAGUGUCAAUACAAGUAUCUUUAGUUUAACGAUACUAACAGUAUAUUACUAUUACAAUUUUGACAAACAUAAUUAUUAGCCUACCAAAUAAAUUAUAAAUGUAGCUUCUGUAUUUGCUUAUUUAUUAAUAUUUACUUACCUUAAUAACAUUAAAAUAUUAAUUUAUUGUAAAAAUAUCUUGACCUAACUGAAAGAUUGAAAAUUUGUAAACUGUUGUGAAAUUAUGUUGAUGUUGUUAG